AAACCCUCACCCAUAUAUAGCAUGUGCAUAGUAUAAUUACAUGCUUGAAAUCAAGAGGCACUUCCAUUCCAAGUCCACAUUGCUGAUUAAUGCCAUAUAUAUUUACAAUCAUCUCGUAUAUAAUUUGAGACAGGAAUGUCGUUUCACGGGAUCUUCACCGUAUAUAGGUAGAUAUCUGGAUUAUUCCAGUAUGGACAAAUAAAACACAGCAAAUGUUCUACUCAAGUUAUGGCAGACUACGAAGGGGACAAACAAGGACAAGAUGAGAUGGUCAUAGGUUAAAUUAGACCAAGUGAAAAAAUGGUCAUAGGUAGCAGCCUGCUGCGGCUUACAAGUAUAUAUAGAUGUGGAACGAUCCGUACCAUGGAGGCUUCAUCCUCCUGACACACACCCUGAGCUAUGGGCCGAAGAACAGUUGAUGUCGCUACGCUCCGGCCCAAGCCUACCAACAUAGCCCACCUUUUUUAGAAUUUGAAUCACAAACCCAUCAACAAACAAGGACAAUAUGAUACACUCAUAUGUUAGACCAAGUGAAAAAAUGGUCAUAGGUAGCAGUAGCUGACAUGGCAGGCAGGCUGUCUGCUUGACCGUGCUUCCCCUGCUGCGCUGCGCUCCUGC
rnacentral:lncRNA from 1 species